rnacentral:tRNA from 2 species
GCCGAGGUGGCGAAAUUGGUAGACGCACCGGACUCAAAAUCCGGUAGUGAUAAAACACUGUGAGGGUUCGAGUCCCUCCCUCGGUA